rnacentral:misc_RNA from 1 species
UCCGAUUUGUCACCGGCAGUCUCCUAUGAGUCCCCGUCUUUCACGCUGGCAACAUAGGACGAGGGUUGCGCUCGUUGCGGGACUUAACCCAACAUCUCACGACACGAGCUGACGACAACCAUGCACCACCUGUAUACCGCCCUUGCGGACCCCAUAUCUCUAUGAGUUUUCGGUAUAUGUCAAGCCUUGGUAAGGUUCUUCGCGUUGCGUCGAAUUAAACCACAUGCUCCACCGCUUGUGCGGGCCCCCGUCAAUUCCUUUGAGUUUCAGCCUUGCGGCCGUACUCCCCAGGCGGGGCACUUAAUGCGUUAGCUACGGCACAGAAGGCGUUGACGGCCCCCUACACCUAGUGCCCAACGUUUACGGCGUGGACUAC